GCUGGAGGUUCAUUUGCCUCGUUCCUCCUCAACCACAGAGCAGAAAAACACGCCGCCUUGCCAAACCCGCAGAACCGGGUCAGAACCACCCUGCGUAGGUGAGGCCGAGCGAGAAGGGGAGAGAGAGGGAAGGGGGCGUGGCCUGAUGGCUUUGCAGCAGCGUGGAGAGGCCUGCAGGCUCUGAGUGGAAACGGCGACUCAGCAGAGUUGGAAAGAGACGAUGAAGGUUUCCUGCUCUGGGUCAGGUGACCACCUGUCAGCAUCUAAGCCCCGCCCAUCAGGAUAACCUGCAGAGGAAACUCAAAUCUUACUCAGCAGAAAAGCAGCGAUGACUUUCUGUAGGGGGAACCAAACAUCCAGCUUCUAGGUUCCACAGAUCUGGAACAAACUUCCAGAAAACUGAAAAACUGCAGAAACGGCGAGUUCCCUUAGAGCCUGGAGGACCCAGCAGCUGGAGGAACUGGAGUUCUGAUUGGCGGUGUUCGGAUGGCGGCUGAGCGCUCAGAGGGCGCCCGUCAGAUGAUGGCGUUUGAUGAUGACAUCACUCAGGGCAGCCGCAGUAAUUUUAGCGAGCAGUGACUGAGAGUCACAGGAGAGGAAGCAGCAGCCUCGUGGUGAGGAUGACUCACCAUGGAGUCAGGACUCUUCCUCACAUGGGGCCCGCCGCCCACAUGGGGCCCGCCGCUGCUGAGGAAUCCAUUCAGGAUAUGCUGGCUUCUUCUCCCUGAUUGGCUGCUGGGUCAGAGUGAGUUUAGAGAAGAGAGGUGCUGAAUCUAUUGUUUACAUGAACAAGGCACCAUGGAAACGGUGGAGCAUCAGGAUAUCUCCUUCAUGAAGCGACUCGGGCUUCCUGCUUCUCUCCAGUCUGGAUUAUUUUCCGUUUUUGGGCCGGUCACCAUAACCGAUGCUACAAUAAAUCGUCCCAGAGGUUAUUGCAAUAACGAUAAUGUUGUUGUUUUGAGACCGUUUUAAAGAAAUAUAAUGAAACGUGACAAAGUUGGGCCCAUAAAGACGUCAAAGAAACAGAAUUCAACUUAAACAGACGGACCUCUCUAAAUGAGACAAAGGGGAAACUUAAAUACUGUCUGAUCAGGCAGCAUAGAAGACCCACACCGACCCAACUGACCGUAAGAGGAAACUCCCGUCCUCCCCUCAUGCUGAGCAGUUCUAUGGACCCGUUUGUCGUCUCCACCGACACUGAGGCAACUCAAAGCAAGCAAAGGUUAAAUCAAGCAAAACAUGUAACAGUGCAAACUAAAAUGGCGCACUUAUUCCAGAAUACAGUUUUAAAUGAUGUGUUUAAACAAAAACUCUGAAAUUAAAUCCUGUAUUUAAAGAAACAAAAUACAAGUGUGGAGAGACUGAACUAUUGUGAGCGGUGUGAUUGAAAGUUUGUGUGGCUGUAACGGCAACCAUCACAAACUGGAAGACAUUUUAAAUAUCCAAAAUAAACCAAAAAAUCCAUAAAUAAAUAAAAUGAAUAAUGAAGCUUCGGUAAACAAAAUGAUCCUUAAAAAACACCAGACUGAAGACUUUUAUCAUAGAAAGAGGAAAAAAAUAAAUCAAUUAUAAUUCAUGAUGCGUGCUACCUGUCAGCAUUCAGAUGCUAUUUGAGGCUAGCUUAGCUUCGCUGAUAGGCUAACUGCUGUUAGCACAACGUAAACACAACAACAGUGUUUUAACCAUCCAAUCAGAUCUCUUAGAAGCAGAAAUUAACUGAGAGAAGCCGCUUCAUCCCUGCUGUUAGCAACGUAGCUGUGCGUCAGAUUUACAGGCGUACCAGAAACACAUGAAUACAAAGGUUCCGCCUCGGGACUUCAGUAUGUGGAGAAAAAGUGAUGAAUUGCAUUAAAAUCUUUGUAACGAAUUGAAAUGUUAAAGUCUCGGUCCUGACUCUGACAUGCCUUCCUGCUGAAGUGGGAAUCACCAUGGCAACCAGUGACUCCUCUGGACGUCUCAUUGGUUCAGUUCUGACGCCAGCCCGACCCGUCGGAUCAAGCUGGGUUGGCUGCAGUCUGCUUGUACCUGUUACAGGUCAAAGGUCAAAAAUGUUCCUGUCUUUCUUUUCUUUCAGUAUUCAGAGUUUCUGUCUGAUUCCUUCAACUUUUCAUCUUUAACUUUUCCUCUCAGCAAAACAACUGACAGACGUUCAUCCUCAGCGCUAGCUGGUGUGAGGCUGAGGAGGAGGAUGAAGAGGAGGUGCGAGGAUUUAUGGCCGAGCUAAUAGAGCUUAUCUUCCAACAGGGGAGGAAACGAACUCCAUAAAGUCCCGGUGGAGUGAGUCAGUGGGAGCCUGAACCAUAUCAAGCGUCUCUGUGAGAACCAGAGCCAGCAGCAGUGCACGUGAGCACGUGCACGUGAGAGUCAGAGCAAACAGACAUCUGAUGUUUGCAGCAUUCCUGAGAACUUUUUCAUCUGAGAGAAAAACAAAAAAAGAGCUAAAACACUUGAGCAAAUAAGAUUUAAGAACCAGCUUGAUUUUGGACAUGGAGACAUGAAGGACAUGAAGACAUUGAGACAUGGAGACAUGAGUCCCUUGGACAGCUGUUUGCUGCAUGUGCCGGGCUGCUGGUCCAAACCCAUCAGAUGGGAAGACAAGCUGCAGGUUCUGGUUCUGGUUCUGAGCUGCAGUUGGCUCCAGGGCACUUGGGCAGGGUUUGGCCCGGUUUUGUGAGAACCUGCGGCUCAGUUUGAAAGUUUCCCCUGACCUGAGGGGAAGCUCUUCCUCCUCCUCUUCCUCAGGAUGAUGACAGAGGCUGAAACGCUGCGUUUGCAGCAGCACGGCCUGUACGGCAAGCUGAUUUCACAUAAAAUCAGGUUCAUACGCUCUAGAUGAAUUCACAAUGCAUUUAGAUGGAAACAACAUUCUGACUUUAACAAAGGUUAUUACAGAUUUCUGCAUUUACAUUUUGAAGAAUAAUUCAAGACAUUUUUCAAUCUCAUUUUGUUGAAUCAAGAUUUGCUAAGUGAACAUCCCUAAAUACAAUUUAAGAUGUCUCAAACUUAAUGACCAGUCAAAAUGACA